CCAUGUACCAAGCUCCAUCUUCUCAAGAUAGAUUUUAGUAUUUGGUUAGCUAAGUGACUUACUAGUGGAUUAUCUACAUCUCAUGUAGAAUUUGCUCUUGCACCUCUAUGUAUUUUUACUUGAGGUAGUCGCAUGUUCUGUUGCUAUAUGUGCUUAGAUAUCUGGUGCCAUUGUCUUUGUAAUAUAGUGUCAUGGCAUCUGAUGGUAUGACAUCCAAUUCUGCAACUAACAUUAAAACCAAAAUGCAUUCUACACAUCUAUAGUGUACAUAGUUUUCAUUGAUCGAUUGCUUGGAACCCUUCCAAGAUAUCAACAUGAUUUCAUCCCAUGAUGU
rnacentral:lncRNA from 1 species